CUGAAACUCAUUAUUAUGAUACACGAUUCGUGGACCAUAAUGGACAGGCAAAAUGUUUAUAUUUUGUCUUAAUUAUUGGAUAGCCCAACUUUUCCAGGUUAAAGGGUCGUGUAGUGUCAGUGUGCAAUCAUUUACCGAAACACUUAAAAAAAUAUAUGGGAUGUGUCUUCUAGGCCUAAUGGAUAAGACUGUUGUCGAAGUCACCACUCCCAGUUAAUGUAAACAAACGUCAAUUCUAACCGGUCAAGUGUGUUCUAAGCACUUUCUGAAACUGCCUGGACCAAUAGAAAAUAAUCCAGAACCAUAUUCAGCUCAGCAAUAAAAAGACAGACAAAUUGUUGACAGCUACAUUCCUGAAGAAGAAAAAAAAAUACCAAGAAUCAACAAAAAAUGUACAAAGAAAUUUAACAUGUGAUUUCACUCUCUGCAAGGUCUGUCGCCUUUUGGUU